CUUUUUUUUGGCCAGAUUGCUGAGGAAGAGAAGCACUAUCUGACAUUUAAUAUCUUCUCAGUGUGCUUGUGUCCCCAGCAGCACUGUCGUGAAAAUGCUUAGGAGGUUUGUUUUAUGGAUGAGCAAAAUAAAGCAAGAGAGAUUAAGAAACAUGUCCAACAAAGUGGAUGAAUUGGUGGAAUUAGAGGGCAGCGCUGUUGAGUAAAAAAACACAUUCUGUAUGUUCUUACUAACAUGUGGAUGAUAAAGAUGUUGAGAAAAAAGAAGAGAGAAUAGAAUUGGAGUCGUGGAAAGCUGAGGUUGAAUGCCAGCCUGUGGGAUGCU
rnacentral:lncRNA from 1 species